AGUGAACGCUGGCGGUAGGCCUAACACAUGCAAGUCGAACGGCAGCGCAGUAAGAGCUUGCUCUGACGGGUGGCGAGUGGCGGACGGGUGAGGAAUACAUCGGAAUCUACUUUUUCGUGGGGGAUAACGUAGGGAAACUUACGCUAAUACCGCAUACGACCUACGGGUGAAAGCAGGGGAUCUUCGGACCUUUCGCGAUUGAAUGAGCCGAUUUCGGAUUAGCUAGUUGGCGGGGUAAGGGCCCACCAAGGCGACGAUCCGUAGCUGGUCUGGGAGGAUGAUCAGCCACACUGGAACUGAGACACGGUCCAGACUCCUACGGGAGGCAGCAGUGGGGAAUAUUGGACAAUGGGCGCAAGCCUGAUCCAGCCAUACCGAGUGGGUGAAGAAGGCCUUCGGGUUGUAAAGCCCUUUUGUUGGGAAAGAAACGCAGCAGGUUAAUACCCAGCUGUUCUGACGGUACCCAAAGAAUAAGCACCGGCUAACUUCGUG
rnacentral:rRNA from 1 species